GGGGGUGAAAAGCCCCCUCGCCGUAAGCGCAAGGUUUCCUACGCAACGUUCAUCGGCGUAGGGUGAGUCGGCCCCUAAGGCGAGGCAGAGAUGCGUAGCUGAUGGGAAACAGGUCAAUAUUCCUGUACCGAUUGCAAGUGCGAUGUGGGGACGGAGAAGGUUAGCUCAGCCGGGUGUUGGAUGUCCCGGUUCAAGCGUGUAGUCGUGCUCUUUAGGCAAAUCCGGAGAGCUUAGAUGAGGCGUGAUAACGAGGAGGCUUGCCUCCGAAGUGAGUGAUACCCUGCUUCCAGGAAAAGCCACUAAGCUUCAGCUUGCAACGACCGUACCGCAAACCGACACUGGUGCGCGAGAUGAGUAUUCUAAGGCGCUUGAGAGAACUCUGGAGAAGGAACUCGGCAAAUUGACACCGUAACUUCGGAAGAAGGUGUGCCUUUAGUAGGUGAACCAUUUACUUGGGGAGCCCAAUGAGGCCGCAGAGAAUCGGUGGCUGCAACUGUUUAUUAAAAACACAGCACUCUGCAAAGACGAAAGUCGACGUAUAGGGUGUGACUCCUGCCCGGUGCUGGAAGAUUAAAUGAUGGGGUGCAAGCUCUUGACUGAAGUCCCAGUAAACGGCGGCCGUAACAAUAACGGUCCUAAGGUAGCGAAAUUCCUUGUCGGGUAAGUUCCGACCUGCACGAAUGGCGUAACGAUGGCCACACUGUCUCCUCCAGAGACUCAGCGAAGUUGAAAUGUUUGUGAUGAUGCAAUCUCCCCGCGGAAAGACGGAAAGACCCCAUGAACCUUUACUGUAGCUUUACAUUGGACUUUGAACAGAUCUGUGUAGGAUAGGUGGGAGGCUUUGAAGUAAGGUCGCUAGAUCUUAUGGAGCCGACGUUGAAAUACCACCCUGGUGUGUUUGAGGUUCUAACCUUGGCCCGUUAUCCGGGUUGGGGACAGUGUAUGGUGGGCAGUUUGACUGGGGCGGUCUCCUCCCAAAUCGUAACGGAGGAGUUCGAAGGUACGCUAGGCACGGUCGGAAAUCGUGCUGAUAGUGCAUAGGCAUAAGCGUGCUUGACUGCGAGACUGACAAGUCGAGCAGGUACGAAAGUAGGACUAAGUGAUCCGGUGGUUCUGUAUGGAAGGGCCAUCGCUCAACGGAUAAAAGGUACUCUGGGGAUAACAGGCUGAUACCGCCCAAGAGUUCAUAUCGACGGCGGUGUUUGGCACCUCGAUGUCGGCUCAUCUCAUCCUGGGGCUGUAGCCGGUCCCAAGGGUAUGGCUGUUCGCCAUUUAAAGAGGUACGUGAGCUGGGUUUAAAACGUCGUGAGACAGUUUGGUCCCUAUCUUCCGUGGGCGCUGCAAGAUUGAGAGAGCCUGCUCCUAGUACGAGAGGACCGGAGUGGACGCACCUCUGGUGUACCGGUUGUCACGCCAGUGGCAUCGCCGGGUAGCUAUGUGCGGAAGAGAUAACCGCUGAAAGCAUCUAAGCGGGAAACUCGUCUCAAGAUGAGUCUUGCCGGGGCCUUGAGCCCCCUGAAGAGUCGUUCGAGACCAGGACGUUGAUAGGCUGGGUGUGGAAGUGCAGUAAUGCAUUAAGCUAACCAGUACUAAUUGCUCGUGAGGCGGACCA
rnacentral:rRNA from 1 species